GAUGAACGCUGGCGGCGUGCUUAACACAUGCAAGUCGAACGAUGACGCUCAGCUUGCUGGGUGGAUUAGUGGCGAACGGGUGAGUAACACGUGAGUAACCUGCCCUUAACUCUGGGAUAAGCCUGGGCAACUAGGUCUAAUACCGGAUAGGAGCGUCCACCGCAUGGUGGGUGUUGGAAAGAUUUAGCGGUUUUGGAUGGACUCGCGGCCUAUCAGCUUGUUGGUGAGGGAGUGGCUCACCAAGGCGACGACGGGUAGCCGGCCUGAGAGGGUGACCGGCCACCCUGGGACUGAGACACGGCCCAGACUCCUACGGGAGGCAGCAGUGGGGAAUAUUGCACAAUGGGCGCACGCCUGAUGCAGCGACGCCGCGUGAGGGAUGACGGCCUUCGGGUUGUAAACCUCUUUCAGUUGGGAAGAAGCGAAAGUGACGGUACCUGAAGAAGAAGCACCGGCUAACUACGUG
rnacentral:rRNA from 1 species